AAGAACGUAACAUCACUCAAAAUAUAUAGAAAUAAUGUUUUAGGAUUGUUGAUAAAAUGUUUCACCUCUAUUAUUAGGGUUCUUUGAAUAUUGUCCAACACCUCCAAGCUUGGAGUCGCCGUAUUUGUAAGCAAAAUUGUGACCUAGACUUGGAUUGUAUGAUGGCUUCAUGUGUCUCAACAACUUCUCAGUGGAUCAUAGAUGCAAUAAAUGACACUCAUGGAAUUGGCGAGUGGAGAAGAAGAAAAGUUUGAUCGAACAAGAGAGGGAGCGGGUAAAGUUACAGAUCUAGCAGAAGGAGAAGAAAAUUUUAUAUCGAAUGAUAGAAGAAGAAAAGUUUGAGAGCCUUUAUCUUUUUUUGAUUUGGGGGAAAAAGAGAAAUUAAAAAAAACAAAGGAGGGGAUUGGGAAAAGAGGCACUUGAUUCAUUUUCACCAAAGAGGGAAAGUGAAAUGGGAAAACGAAGGAAAGGGGAGUGAAGAAAAUUAAAGUUUAGGUUAGCCACGGGAGAAGUAUGGCUAUUACAGAUCUUUUUCUACGAGGCAACAUAACCGUGGCUAGUUUGCAGCGGAGCCGUUUUUUUGUAGUGCA
rnacentral:lncRNA from 1 species